GAUGAACGCUGGCGGCGUGCCUAAUACAUGCAAGUCGAGCGAACAGACGAGGAGCUUGCUCCUCUGACGUUAGCGGCGGACGGGUGAGUAACACGUGGAUAACCUACCUAUAAGACUGGGAUAACUUCGGGAAACCGGAGCUAAUACCGGAUAAUAUAUUGAACCGCAUGGUUCAAUAGUGAAAGACGGUUUUGCUGUCACUUAUAGAUGGAUCCGCGCCGCAUUAGCUAGUUGGUAAGGUAACGGCUUACCAAGGCAACGAUGCGUAGCCGACCUGAGAGGGUGAUCGGCCACACUGAACUGAGACACGGUCCAGACGCCUACGGGAGGCAGCAGUAGGGAAUCUUCCGCAAUGGGCGAAAGCUUGACGGAGCAACGCCGCGUGAGUGAUGAAGGUCUUCGGAUCGUAAAACUCUGUUAUUAGGGAAGAACAAAUGUGUAAGUAACUAUGCACGUCUUGACGGUACCUAAUCAGAAAGCCACGGCUAACUACGUG
rnacentral:rRNA from 1 species